rnacentral:tRNA from 1 species
GGUCUCAUGGUGUAAUGGUUAGCACUCUGGACUCUGAAUCCAGCGAUCCAAGUUCAAAUCUCGGUGAGACCU